UACAGAGGUCUCAAGCGUUGUUCGGAUUCAUUGGGCGUAAAGGGUGCGUAGGCGGCGCGGUAAGUCGGGUGUGAAAUCUCGGAGCUUAACUCCGAAACUGCAUUCGAUACUGCCGUGCUUGAGGACUGGAGAGGAGACUGGAAUUUACGGUGUAGCGGUGAAAUGCGUAGAUAUCUGGAGGAACACCGGUGGCGAAGGCGGCAUCCUGGACCAACACUGACGCUGAGUGAGCGAAAGCCAGGGGAGCAAACGGGG
rnacentral:rRNA from 1 species